rnacentral:rRNA from 1 species
UACGGGGGGGGCAAGCGUUGUUCGGAAUUACUGGGCGUAAAGGGCGCGUAGGCGGCCUUCCAAGUCGAACGUGAAAUCCCCGGGCUCAACCCGGGAACUGCGUCCGAUACUGGAAGGCUUGAAUCCGGGAGAGGGAUGUGGAAUUCCAGGUGUAGCGGUGAAAUGCGUAGAUAUCUGGAGGAACACCGGUGGCGAAGGCGGGUCUCUGGGCCGAUACUGACGCUGAGGAGCGAAAGCGUGGGGAGCGAACAGG